UUAAGCGACUAAGCGUACACGGUGGAUGCCCUGGCAGUCAGAGGCGAUGAAGGACGUGCUAAUCUGCGAUAAGCGUCGGUAAGGUGAUAUGAACCGUUAUAACCGGCGAUUUCCGAAUGGGGAAACCCAGUGUGAUUCGUCACACUAUCAUUAACUGAAUCCAUAGGUUAAUGAGGCGAACCGGGGGAACUGAAACAUCUAAGUACCCCGAGGAAAAGAAAUCAACCGAGAUUCCCCCAGUAGCGGCGAGCGAACGGGGAGGAGCCCAGAGCCUGAAUCAGUGUGUGUGUUAGUGGAAGCGUCUGGAAAGGCGCGCGAUACAGGGUGACAGCCCCGUACACAAAAAUGCACAUGCUGUGAGCUCGAUGAGUAGGGCGGGACACGUGGUAUCCUGUCUGAAUAUGGGGGGACCAUCCUCCAAGGCUAAAUACUCCUGACUGACCGGUAGUGAACCAGUACCGUGAGGGAAAGGCGAAAAGACCCCGGCGAGGGGAGUGAAAAAGAACCUGAAAACCGUGUACGUACAAGCAGUGGGAGCACAGAGCAAUCUGUGUGACUGCGUACCUUUUGUAUAAUGGGUCAGCGACUUAUAUUCUGUAGCAAGGUUAACCGAAUAGGGGAGCCGAAGGGAAACCGAGUCUUAACCGGGCGUUAAGUUGCAGGGUAUAGACCCGAAACCCGGUGAUCUAGCCAUGGGCAGGUUGAAGGUUGGGUAACACUAACUGGAGGACCGAACCGACUAAUGUUGAAAAAUUAGCGGAUGACUUGUGGCUGGGGGUGAAAGGCCAAUCAAACCGGGAGAUAGCUGGUUCUCCCCGAAAGCUAUUUAGGUAGCGCCUCGUGAAUUCAUCUCCGGGGGUAGAGCACUGUUUCGGCAAGGGGGUCAUCCCGACUUACCAACCCGAUGCAAACUGCGAAUACCGGAGAAUGUUAUCACGGGAGACACACGGCGGGUGCUAACGUCUGUCGUGAAGAGGGAAACAACCCAGACCGCCAGCUAAGGUCCCAAAGUCAUGGUUAAGUGGGAAACGAUGUGGAAGGCCCAGACAGCCAGGAUGUUGGCUUAGAAGCAGCCAUCAUUUAAAGAAAGCGUAAUAGCUCACUGGUCGAGUCGGCCUGCGCGGAAGAUGUAACGGGGCUAAACCAUGCACCGAAGCUGCGGCAGCGACACUGUGUGUUGUUGGGUAGGGGAGCGUUCUGUAAGCCUGUGAAGGUGUGCUGUGAGGCAUGCUGGAGGUAUCAGAAGUGCGAAUGCUGACAUAAGUAACGAUAAAGCGGGUGAAAAGCCCGCUCGCCGGAAGACCAAGGGUUCCUGUCCAACGUUAAUCGGGGCAGGGUGAGUCGACCCCUAAGGCGAGGCCGAAAGGCGUAGUCGAUGGGAAACAGGUUAAUAUUCCUGUACUUGGUGUUACUGCGAAGGGGGGACGGAGAAGGCUAUGUUGGCCGGGCGACGGUUGUCCCGGUUUAAGCGUGUAGGCUGGUUUUCCAGGCAAAUCCGGAAAAUCAAGGCUGAGGCGUGAUGACGAGGCACUACGGUGCUGAAGCAACAAAUGCCCUGCUUCCAGGAAAAGCCUCUAAGCAUCAGGUAACAUCAAAUCGUACCCCAAACCGACACAGGUGGUCAGGUAGAGAAUACCAAGGCGCUUGAGAGAACUCGGGUGAAGGAACUAGGCAAAAUGGUGCCGUAACUUCGGGAGAAGGCACGCUGAUAUGUAGGUGAAGUCCCUCGCGGAUGGAGCUGAAAUCAGUCGAAGAUACCAGCUGGCUGCAACUGUUUAUUAAAAACACAGCACUGUGCAAACACGAAAGUGGACGUAUACGGUGUGACGCCUGCCCGGUGCCGGAAGGUUAAUUGAUGGGGUCAGCGCAAGCGAAGCUCUUGAUCGAAGCCCCGGUAAACGGCGGCCGUAACUAUAACGGUCCUAAGGUAGCGAAAUUCCUUGUCGGGUAAGUUCCGACCUGCACGAAUGGCGUAAUGAUGGCCAGGCUGUCUCCACCCGAGACUCAGUGAAAUUGAACUCGCUGUGAAGAUGCAGUGUACCCGCGGCAAGACGGAAAGACCCCGUGAACCUUUACUAUAGCUUGACACUGAACAUUGAGCCUUGAUGUGUAGGAUAGGUGGGAGGCUUUGAAGUGUGGACGCCAGUCUGCAUGGAGCCGACCUUGAAAUACCACCCUUUAAUGUUUGAUGUUCUAACGUGGACCCGUGAUCCGGGUUGCGGACAGUGUCUGGUGGGUAGUUUGACUGGGGCGGUCUCCUCCUAAAGAGUAACGGAGGAGCACGAAGGUUGGCUAAUCCUGGUCGGACAUCAGGAGGUUAGUGCAAUGGCAUAAGCCAGCUUGACUGCGAGCGUGACGGCGCGAGCAGGUGCGAAAGCAGGUCAUAGUGAUCCGGUGGUUCUGAAUGGAAGGGCCAUCGCUCAACGGAUAAAAGGUACUCCGGGGAUAACAGGCUGAUACCGCCCAAGAGUUCAUAUCGACGGCGGUGUUUGGCACCUCGAUGUCGGCUCAUCACAUCCUGGGGCUGAAGUAGGUCCCAAGGGUAUGGCUGUUCGCCAUUUAAAGUGGUACGCGAGCUGGGUUUAGAACGUCGUGAGACAGUUCGGUCCCUAUCUGCCGUGGGCGCUGGAGAACUGAGGGGGGCUGCUCCUAGUACGAGAGGACCGGAGUGGACGCAUCACUGGUGUUCGGGUUGUCAUGCCAAUGGCACUGCCCGGUAGCUAAAUGCGGAAGAGAUAAGUGCUGAAAGCAUCUAAGCACGAAACUUGCCCCGAGAUGAGUUCUCCCUGACCCUUUAAGGGUCCUGAAGGAACGUUGAAGACGACGACGUUGAUAGGCCGGGUGUGUAAGCGCAGCGAUGCGUUGAGCUAACCGGUACUAAUGAACCGUGAGGCUUAACCUU
rnacentral:rRNA from 1 species